GUACUGAGGAGACAGUGGUGACCCCAGCCUACAAACUGCAAUUACUCUAGCUCAGGCUCCUCCUCAAAUGAGUUUGUCAAAUCAUGGUUGGAACAAUAUAAACAAAGUAGAACAAACUAGAUCAGUCUCUGCCCAGCAUAGGCAAAACACAGAGUUUGUUACAUCACUGUCUGGUUAGUGAAUGCGUGGUACUGGAGUAUGUUUCAGACUGUAGAGUAUGUUUCAGACUGGAGUAUGUUUCAGACUGGAGUAUGUUUCAGACUGGAAUAUGUUUCAGACUGCCGAGUAUGUUUAAGACUGGAGUAUGUUUCAGACUGAAAUAUGUUUCAGACUGCUGAGUAUAUUUCAGACUGAAGUAUGUUUCAGACUGCUGAGUAUAUUUCAGACUGAAGUAUGUUUCAGACUGGAGUAUGUUUCAGACUGAAGUAUGUUUCAGACUGGAGUAUGUUUCAGACUGGAGUAUGUUUCAGACUGAAGUAUGCUUCAGACUGGAGUAUGUUUCAGACUGGAGUAUGUUUCAGAUUGGAGUAUGUUUCAGACUGAAGUAUGUUUCAGAUUUGAGUAUGUUUCAGACUGGAGUAUGUUUCAGACUGGAGUAUGUUUCAGACUGAAGUAUGUUUCAGACUGAAGUAAGUUUCAGACUGGAGUAUGUUUCAGACUGGAGUAUGUUUCAAACUGGAAUAUGUUUCAGACUAAAAUAAGUUUCAGACUGAAGUAAGUUUCAGAAUUGAAUAUGUUACAUUUUAUAAACAGAAGUCGAGUUAAUUCAAUGAUAUAUUCUUUGGAGAAAAAGAAAAACUUCAGCGGUAGACAUUAAAUAAAAAAUGAAAAAUGACUUUUUUGAUAAAUUGUAUGCCUUAAACGGACCCUGGAAACACAAAUACUUUUUUUUUAACCACUGGAAUUAAAUUUUUAGUAAAAUUCUCUUUCCUUUAAGAACUAAAAAUAUACAAGAUUUCAUUAAAAUUUCAUAGCUUUUAUUUUUUUUUGUCUUCAACUGCUACAAACACAAUUUCAUAUAGCUAACAAAUAUAUGUAAAAACGUGAAACCCAGCACAUAGGUUCAGCCUGCUUAUAAAUUUUUAAGGCAGGGUCGACUUUGAAGUGUCGCCCGCUUUGAUUUUACCGCUCUAACUCUCUUUUGAUUUUCUGUAGCCCUGUACAUGUACAUUUUAGCUCUAUAGAGCACUUGUUGUUAGUGUUGUUUUUAACUUCAUUUUUGCAUGAGAGCUUGAGACCUAAAAAUCUCAGUGCCAACGUUUAAGAGCAAAAAAUUUCACCUGAAGAAUAUGGAUUUAGAGGUUGAAAUUGAAAAUAAUAGCAUUUCUCAUUCUGAACUACGUCGUAUAGUCUUGACUUGAUCUCAACUUCUCGUUCAUUCGCUACCGCUGAGUUUGUCUUUCCAAAUUACUGUCCACUGUUUUACUCUUUUACAUUACUGAAUAUCGACUUCUUACUCUGUAAACAGGCUGUUUGGUGCUUUAUAAGAAGUCAGAAACACCUUAAAACUGUAUAAUAAUAAUAAUAAAAGUAAUAUUAAUAAUAAUAAUAAUGAGCUCGUGUAAAAUGCAUUUAAACACGAACUGAAAAUGUGUUCAAAGUGCACUUUGAAAAAUUCGUUUCUUACGCAUUUGAACAUAAAUACAAAGACGUGUCAAUUGUGUCUCUUAUAUACUUAUUCAUUUAUGUAUUAUGAUUAUGAAUUAUGCCAGAUGUCCCAAAAAAAAACUUUUUUGUCCCAGAGAUAUUAAAAAUGUUAACAAUUUUGAUUUUAUUCAACUAACUGGAAUAUCUCCAGGUAAACUUUUUCAUAAAACUAUUUUAUAUGGGUCGCUUAAAAAUAACUCAUAUAAUAAUGCCCUGUGAAUAAAAGCCGGUGGAAAAGGUUGUAUCUAAUCUUAAGAGUAAAAUAUCCAGAUUGUUUGAAAAAUUGCGUCAAUUUAUAAGCAUUGAAAUGGAUAUUUUAAAAAUACAGAGCACUUGUUUUGAUUUCUAUUUUCUAAGAAGUAAUUGUCAAAAUUCUCAUAG